UUAGAUUGGCAGCCAACUGCUGACUUUUCCUACAGCAUCAGCGCUUUGUUUGCUCACCGCAGACACGCCGAGGUAAAAUUAGAAGGCCCGGAAGCGAGGUCCAGCGUUGCCUCGAAUUGAUUCAUCACUGCCUGGGACUCUGGAUGUCUGCAGCUGAUAAAAAGGUCAUUUUCCGUACAGAUGGCAUCGACCAACAGACGUGAUGAGAUCCAACAGCUUUAGUGGCAGGUGGAGAGAAACCCGGCUCUGCUGGAGCACGGUCGGAGAGACGAACUCAGUGGCAGCAGAGGACCAGGGGUCAACAUGAAAGUGUCAACACAAACCCCCCCACACGUUGUCUGAGGAUUCCUGGGCAGGAGGGGUGUGUGUAGAUCUGUCAUAGGUUGGAAAAAGCAAAGGACUUUGAAGAUAGCAUAAAAUGUUUAGUGGCUUCCUCCUACAGUCCAAAUACAUAACCAGCUGUGUUUCCAUUGGCCAUAAAAUUGUGCAAUUAUAUGGCACAAUUACAUAAUUG